ensembl:snoRNA SNORD39 Small nucleolar RNA SNORD55/SNORD39
UGAGUAUCCGUGAUGAAGCUUCUCUAAUUGCUGCAUUAGACCGAAUGCACCAUGUGGAAAUCAACCUUGGAGAGCUGAGUACUCA